UGGGAUUUAAGCCCUUGGGGGAGAGAGGAAUUUCUGUCAACCCCCGGUUCAGAGAAUGAACAGACAUCUGCUGUCCUCGGGUGCAUGAAGCACUGCCACAGAGUACAGCAGGAGCAGAGCAGCCCAGCAGAGCGGAGCACACAAUCUGGGGACAGGCUGAAACCUAAAGGUAGCACGGCUCUCAUUCGGUGAAGGCUUUAAACAAGCAUCCUGGCUCACCCGUGCUGGAGGCUACGAUGGUCACCUCUUUAUCAUUGACACCGUCACACUUCACUUCAGGAGGAGCUCACGCUGAUCACGGAUAUCUUGUCCCGGGAUCGCAGCAGCGUAGUGUUCCGGCUGCUCUCUCUCCACAUUCCGGAGUAGCUCACGCUGAUCGCGGAUAUCCUGUCCCCGGAUGAAAAGCCUCUGUCGUCGGAUGCGCAGCCCCUCUCGUCGGAUGCACAGCCCCUGAGAGUGUGUUCAGCCACAGACAAAUCCGAAAUGUUCAACACGAGCUAGACACUGUACCCUCAAUAUU